rnacentral:rRNA from 1 species
GAAGAGCCCAAACCAAUAAGCUUGCUUAUUGGGGUUGUAGGACACUCUGUACGGAGUUACAAAAGAAUUUGUUAGACGAAUAACCUGGAAAGGUUAAUCAUAGAAGGUAAUAAUCCUGUAGUCGAAAACGAAUUCUCUCUUGAGUGGAUCCUGAGUACGACGGAGCACGUGAAAUUCCGUCGGAAUCUGGGAGGACCAUCUCCUAAGGCUAAAUACUCUCUAGUGACC